CCCACUGCUAUCGAGAUGGGACUAAGCCAUGCUAGUCGAACGACCCGAACUAUGUCGGGUAGUGGCAUACUGCUCAGUAACACAUAGCUAACUUUCCCUUAGGACGGGAGCAACCCCGGGAAACUGGGGCUAAUGCCCGAUAGGUGUGGAGGCCUGGAAUGGUUCCACACUGAAAAGUACCUUGAACAUGUUCAUGGUAUGCCUAAGGAUGGGGCUGUGGCCGAUCAGGCUGUUGGCGAGGUAAUGGCUCACCAAACCUUUGACCGGUACGGGCCAUGAGAGUGGUAGCCCGGAGAUGGGCACUGAGACAAGGGCCCAGGCCCUACGGGGCGCAGCAGGCGCGAAACCUCCACAAUGCACUCACGUGCGAUGGGGUUACCUCGAGUGCCGCCUUGAAAGGGUGGCUUUUCCAUAGUGUAACUAGCUAUGGGAAUAAGAGGGGGGCAAGACUGGUGUCAGCCGCCGCGGUAACACCAGCCCCUCGAGUGGUGGGGAUGAUUAUUUGGCCUAAAGCGUUCGUAGCCGGUUAUGAAAGUCCUUCGUUAAAUCCAGCGUCCCAAGCGUUGGCUUGCGAAGGAUACUACGUAACUAGAGGGUGGGAGAGGUCAGCGGUAUUCCUGGGGUAGGGGCGAAAUCCAUUGAUCCCAGGAGGACCACCAGUGGCGAAGGCUGCUGACUAGAACACGCCUGACGGUGAGGGACGAAAGCUGGG
rnacentral:rRNA from 1 species